AUUGAACGCUGGCGGCAUGCUUUACACAUGCAAGUCGAACGGUAACAGGCCGCAAGGUGCUGACGAGUGGCGAACGGGUGAGUAAUGCAUCGGAACGUGCCCAGUCGUGGGGGAUAACGCAGCGAAAGCUGUGCUAAUACCGCAUACGAUCUAUGGAUGAAAGCGGGGGACCGUAAGGCCUCGCGCGAUUGGUGCGGCCGAUGUCAGAUUAGGUAGUUGGUGGGGUAAAGGCCUACCAAGCCGACGAUCUGUAGCUGGUCUGAGAGGACGACCAGCCACACGGGGACUGAGCAACGGCCCAGACUCCCACGGGAGGAAGCAGUGGGGAAUUUUGGCAAAUGGGCGCAAGCCUGAUCCAGCAAUGCCGCGUGCAGGAAGAAGGCCUUCGGGUUGUAAACUGCUUUUGUACGGAACGAAACGGUCCUGGUUAAUACCCGGGCUAAUGACGGUACCGUAAGAAUAAGCACCGGCAAACUACGUGCCAGCCGCCGCGGUAAUAC
rnacentral:rRNA from 1 species